UACGUAGGGUGCAAGCGUUAAUCGGAAUUACUGGGCGUAAAGCGUGCGCAGGCGGUGAUGGAAGGCAGGUGUGAAAUCCCCGGGCUUAACCUGGGAACUGCAUUUGUGACUGCAUCGCUGGAGUGCGGCAGAGGGGGAUGGAAUUCCGCGUGUAGCAGUGAAAUGCGUAGAUAUGCGGAGGAACACCGAUGGCGAAGGCAAUCCCCUGGGCCUGCACUGACGCUCAUGCACGAAAGCGUGGGGAGCAAACAGG
rnacentral:rRNA from 1 species